rnacentral:rRNA from 1 species
CCCUUAGAUGUCCUGGGCCGCACGCGCGCUACACUGAUGCAUGCAACGAGUUUAUAACCUUGGCCUGAAAGGUCUGGGUAAUCUUUUGAACGUGCAUCGUGAUAGGGAUAGAUUAUUGCAAUUGUUAAUCUUGAACGAGGAAUUCCUAGUAAACGCGAGUCAUCAGCUCGCAUUGAUUACGUCCCUGCCCUUUGUACACACCGCCCGUCGCACCUACCGAUUGAAUGGUUCGGUGAAGAUCUCGGGAUUGUGGUUCUUGCCGCUUUAUUGUGGCGUGACCGCGAGAACUUGUCUAAACCUUAUCAUCUAGAGGAAGGUGAAGUCGUAACA